rnacentral:rRNA from 1 species
UACGUAGGGUGCAAGCGUUGUCCGGAAUUAUUGGGCGUAAAGGGCGCGUAGGCGGUCGUGACAAGUCACUUGUGAAAUCUCCGAGCUUAACUCGGAACGGUCAGCUGAUACUGUUUUGCUAGAGUGCAGAAAGGGCAACCGGAAUUCUUGGUGUAGCGGUGAAAUGCGUAGAUAUCAAGAGGAACACCUGAGGCGAAGGCGGGUUGCUAGGCUGACACUGACGCUGAAGCGCGAAAGCUAGGGUAGCAAACGGG